rnacentral:rRNA from 1 species
GACAGAGGGUGCAAACGUUGUUCGGAAUUACUGGGCGUAAAGCGCGUGUAGGCUGCUCUGCAAGUCGGGUGUGAAAGCCCCGGGCUCAACCUGGGAAGUGCACUCGAAACUGCAGAGCUCGAGUCCUGGAGAGGAAGGCGGAAUUCUCGGUGUAGAGGUGAAAUUCGUAGAUAUCGAGAGGAACACCAGUGGCGAAGGCGGCUUUCUGGUCUGUAACUGACGCUGAGGCGCGAAAGCGUGGGGAGCAAACAGG